rnacentral:rRNA from 1 species
GACGAACGCUGGCGGCGUGCUUAACACAUGCAAGUCGAACGGAAAGGCCCUGCUUUUGUGGGGUGCUCGAGUGGCGAACGGGUGAGUAACACGUGAGUAACCUGCCCUUGACUUUGGGAUAACUUCAGGAAACUGGGGCUAAUACCGGAUAGGAGCACCUGCUGCAUGGUGGGGGUUGGAAAGUUUCGGCGGUUGGGGAUGGACUCGCGGCUUAUCAGCUUGUUGGUGGGGGAGUGGCUUACCCAGGCUUUGACGGGUAGCCGGCCGGAGAGGGGGACCGGCCACAUUGGGACUGAGAUACGGCCCAGACUCCUACGGGGGGCAGCAGUGGGGAAUAUUGCACAAUGGGCGGAAGCCUGAUGCAGCAACGCCGCGUGCGGGAUGACGGCCUUCGGGUUGUAAACCGCUUUCGCCUGUGACGAAGCGUGAGUGACGGUAAUGGGUAAAGAAGCACCGGCUAACUACGUG